UUCUUCUUGAAAAAACCUUCUACUUCCUUAGAGAAGUCCACCACUACUAGGCAGUAAAAGAGGUUAGAGGAAGGCCGUUCUCUACUCACCUAGUAUUCAAGCUGGGCUUCUAGGAAGCUAAAAAUACAUGAGGCAUAGGACCCAAAAAGAAGCAAACAAGAUGCAAAGUGACUCAGUAGCUUAGUUUCUGUGAUGCUCCUUUGGAAUGGAGAAGGCUUUGGUUUUAGUCCCUGCUUCCAAGUACUAUGUCAGGUACCUAAUCUCCUGAGAAGAAGAGGAUUUUAGAAAUUUCUUCACAUGCCUCUCGGCUUUCUGAGUUGUGCUCUGGAGAUGCUGACCACUUUCAGUUCCUUGGAACACCUAGAUAUCUAAACUUGAAUCAGUCUUAGGCAAUCCUAAAGUCUCUCCAUUGACCAUAGAGAGAUCCUAAACACCUCACUUGGUCAAACUAAAUCAGCUGCCAGAGCAAGGAGCCAGAUGUGCUACACAGGAUGUAGCACUACAAAAAAACAGAUCACUCUGGAGUAUGUAUACAUGUACCAGUC